AUACGGAGGAUGCGAGCGUUAUCCGGAUUUAUUGGGUUUAAAGGGAGCGUAGGCGGACGCUUAAGUCAGGUGUGAAAGUUUGCGGCUCAACCGUAAAAUUGCAGUUGAUACUGGGUGUCUUGAGUACAGUAGAGGCAGGCGGAAUUUGUGGUGGAGCGGGGAAAUGCUUAGAUAUCACGAAGAACACCGAUUGCGAAGGCAGCCUGCUGGACUGUAACUGACGCUGAUGCUCGAAAGUGUGGGUAUCAAACAGGAUUAGAUACCCUGGUAGUCCACACAGUAAACGAUGAAUACUCGCUGUUUGCGAUAUACAGUAAGCGUCCAAGCGAAAGCGUUAAGUAUUCCACCUGGGGAGUACGCCGGCAACGGUGAAACUCAAAGGAAUUGACGGGG
rnacentral:rRNA from 1 species